AAAACAUUAAGUUAUAAAUUGGGUCCUAGGGAUAUGACAUACAGCAUGGUGACUAAAGUUAAUAAUACUGAAUUGGAUUUUUGACACUUACUAAGAGAUUAAAUCUUAAAAGUUCUCAUCACAAGAGAAAAAAUAGCAUAACUACACAUGGUGAUGGAUGUUAUCUGAAUUUACUGUGGUCAUCAUCUUGCAAUAUAAACACAUAUCAAACUAUUAUGUUGUAUACCUAAAACUAACAUUGGCUAUAUGCCAAUUAUAACUCACAAUCUUGUAUUUUUUUUUAUUUUUUAAUGUUUAU